rnacentral:rRNA from 1 species
UUUAUGUAAGUAAAAUAAUUUUUUCAAAAAAAAAUUAUUUUUAAUAUGGUUUUAUAUUAUAUAAAAAAUAAAUUUUUUAAAUAAAUAUUUAAAAUAUUUGGUCAUAAAAAGGUUAGUAUCUUUGUAUGGUAUUUAAUAAUUUAAGUAGUAUUAAAAACUUAAAAUAAAUGGUAGUAAAAUAUUCAAUCUAGGGAAUUUUAAAAUUUAAUUUGAUAAUCCACAAUUUUAUUUACUUAAAAUAUUUUUAUGUGUGGUUGUUUAAAACCAUUUUUUAAAAUGAAUUUUAAUUCAGAUUUUACGUAGUAUUUUUAAGGAAUUUUGAAAUGUGGUAUAAAAUUAAUAAAAAUAUUAUUUUAGUAAAGACUUAGAAGUAAUAAAAAUUAAAUAAAAUUGUUUUAUUUUAGGC